UGGGGAAUAUUGCACAAUGGGCGCAAGCCUGAUGCAGCCAUGCCGCGUGUGUGAAGAAGGCCUUCGGGUUGUAAAGCACUUUCAGCGGGGAGGAAGGCGAUAAGGUUAAUAACCUUGUCGAUUGACGUUACCCGCAGAAGAAGCACCGGCUAACUCCGUGCCAGCAGCCGCGGUAAUACGGAGGGUGCAAGCGUUAAUCGGAAUUACUGGGCGUAAAGCGCACGCAGGCGGUCUGUCAAGUCAGAUGUGAAAUCCCCGGGCUUAACCCGGGAAUUGCAUCUGAUACUGGUCAGCUAGAGUCUUGUAGAGGGGGGUAGAAUUCCAUGUGUAGCGGUGAAAUGCGUAGAGAUGUGGAGGAAUACCGGUGGCGAAGGCGGCCCCCUGGACAAAGACUGACGCUCAGGUGCGAAAGCGUGGGGAGCAAACAGG
rnacentral:rRNA from 1 species